AUAUUCCUGGCAGGUGCGUGAUGAAGGCAAUUUAUUUUGAGCCAACACUAACCUCAUGGGAGCCGCUGUGCGGUUCUGGUGUGCAGACCCCGAUUUUAUCGGGGGAGCCUGAAGGAAUCGCUUUGGCGCCCACUUAUACUUACGAGGUUCAAAAUAAAUUCCCACACGGCUUGCCGGGAAAAUU
rnacentral:other from 1 species